rnacentral:rRNA from 1 species
CCUUGAGGCGUGGCUUCCGGAGCUAACGCGUUAAAUCGACCGCCUGGGGAGUACGGCCGCAAGGUUAAAACUCAAAUGAAUUGACGGGGGCCCGCACAAGCGGUGGAGCAUGUGGUUUAAUUCGAUGCAACGCGAAGAACCUUACCUGGUCUUGACAUCCACAGAACUUUCCAGAGAUGGAUUGGUGCCUUCGGGAACUGUGAGACAGGUGCUGCAUGGCUGUCGUCAGCUCGUGUUGUGAAAUGUUGGGUUAAGUCCCGCAACGAGCGCAACCC